UACGUAGGGGGCAAGCGUUGUCCGGAAUUAUUGGGCGUAAAGAGCUCGUAGGCGGUCUGUUGCGUCGGCUGUGAAAACCCGAGGCUCAACCUCGGGCCUGCAGCCGAUACGGGCAGACUAGAGUUCGGCAGGGGAGACUGGAAUUCCUGGUGUAGCGGUGAAAUGCGCAGAUAUCAGGAGGAACACCGGUGGCGAAGGCGGGUCUCUGGGCAAUAACUGACGCUGAGGAGCGAAAGCGUGGGGAGCGAACAGG
rnacentral:rRNA from 1 species